UACGAACUGUGCGAACGUUAUUCGGAAUCACUGGGCUUAAAGGGUGCGUAGGCGGCUGCCUAAGUCAGGUGUGAAAUCUCCCGGCUCAACCGGGAAACUGCGCUUGAUACUGGGCGGCUCGAGUGAGGUAGGGGUGUGUGGAACUUCCGGUGGAGCGGUGAAAUGUGUAGAUAUCGGAAGGAACGCCAGCAGCGAAAGCGGCACACUGGGCCUUUUCUGACGCUGAGGCACGAAAGCCAGGGGAGCGACGGG
rnacentral:rRNA from 1 species